AGCUUUGCACAGUGGCAGUAUCAUAGCUAAUGAGGUUUAUCCAAGGCAUGAUUAUUGCUAAUUGAAAAUUUUUCUAAUGAAAUGUAAAUUUAAAACAUAUGAAAACUUUCCUCAAGG
ensembl:snRNA U4 U4 spliceosomal RNA